AACCUAGCACACCUGCGGUGUGUACCUGCGGAGGGAUCAUUAACCUUUCAAAUCAGGGUGCGGCGCGGCCCCCGAGGAGCGGAAACGAUCCUUGGGAGGUAUGCGGGGGCUUCGAGCCCCCCAUUUACGCACGCACGACUGCCAUCCUUACUUUACGAGCACCUUCUGUUCUCCCUCGGCGGGGCAACCUGCCGUUGGAACCGAAUAAACUCUUUUUGCAUCUAGCAUUACCUGUUCCGA
rnacentral:misc_RNA from 1 species